rnacentral:sRNA from 1 species
ACACAUCGGCGAAGCGUAAGGCGGAAAUUGGCGAAACUUCUGAACCCUAAACACUUCUCAACGAAAGGUGACAAGAAACUUAGACUAACUGAAGUUUUCAUCAGUUCUUAGACAAAAGACAAACAAUGGUGACGGAAAAAAUCGGAAAGGUCUUUAAAGAUGUCUACUACGAUCAGUUCAAGUGGUCAAUGGUGAAGAACAUUGUUUUCUUUAUCGUUGGUGUUAAAAUCGCCAUUGAAUGCAAUGGAAUAACGCUAAUGCCACCAGUCUCCGUUUAAACUUAUCAUGAAUCCAUCAUAAGAUCCAGAGAACUGAAUGUUCCGUCGGUUUCUUACGUCUUGUACACUGAUUACAAUCAUUGUAGGAAUAUAUUCAAUUUUAUCUGUAUUAUACAAAACUGUAUAUUUUGUAUUUGAAACACAUUUGUUAAAGAAUUGUUAAUAAAUAAUGUACAAUAUUUGUUAUUUG